UUUGGAGCCCCUUCGUCGUUGAUAAUGUUGAGCUCCUCUUCCUACAAUCUUUAAUUUCAGCUCUUUUUUUCGUAGGUGAUGAAUUAUCUUCACUUUUUUUGUUGUCUUUCUUGUUGCUCAGCUUGCCGAAGUAAGAACAUUCCCUUCUUCCUCAUUUUUUUCACUUUUCAAACUUUAUCACUGACAUACUCCCUUGCAAAUGUGUGUUCCGGUGGAUAUCCUUGGGUUCCGAAGUAAGUCACAAGAUAGCUAGAACAAUGUAUCUCGGUUUUAUGGAUCUGUGUAAGUAACUUGGAACUUUCCACUAUCACUUUUUUCGCCCCCUUUACUGAUUGAUGAUUCUUUUUUAGCAGAAGCAAAAGAGGAGAAAAACAAGUAGCUCCUGACCUCCGUCUUUCAAAUCUCCUAGCUAUGAAUAAGUGUCGAAUUGCUAAAUCCGUUCCUCUGCUCUCAAAUUUUGUCGGUGACCCUUUUUGGUGGCUGAUGUAGCUUAAGCUAGUUAGCAAUAUCACAGUUAUUUUGCCCCUAUGAUGACCACAAACUAUAUUGUACAUGUAAUAACUGUGAGACACUGUGGUCUUUCUUAAUCCCCUCCCCAUGCUUAGUUAUGUGUGCUGCUUAUCUUCCUUGUUUU
rnacentral:lncRNA from 1 species